UCAGACCCCAGAGAGAGGCA
rnacentral:tRNA from 2 species